rnacentral:rRNA from 1 species
ACAAUGGAGAGUUUGAUCCUGGCUCAGGAUGAACGCUAGCUACAGGCUUAACACAUGCAAGUCGAGGGGAAACGAUAUUGGAAGCUUGCUUCCGAUAGGCGUCGACCGGCGCACGGGUGAGUAACGCGUAUCCAACCUGCCCACCACUUGGGGAUAACCUUGCGAAAGUAAGACUAAUACCCAAUGACGUCUCUAGAAGACAUCUGAAAGAGAUUAAAGAUUUAUCGGUGAUGGAUGGGGAUGCGUCUGAUUAGCUUGUUGGCGGGGUAACGGCCCACCAAGGCGACGAUCAGUAGGGGUUCUGAGAGGAAGGUCC